rnacentral:misc_RNA from 1 species
GAUGAAGAACGUAGCGAAAUGCGAUAAGAAAUGUGAAUUGCAGAAUUCAGUGAAUCAUCGAAUCUUUGAACGCACAUUGCGCCCCCUGGUAUUCCGGGGGGCAUGCCUGUCCGAGCGUCAUUACAACCCUCAAGCUCAGCUUGGUGUUGGGCCCCGCCGCCCCGGCGGGCCCUAAAGUCAGUGGCGGUGCCGUCCGGCUCCGAGCGUAGUAAUUCUUCUCGCUCUGGAGGUCCGGUCGUGUGCUCGCCAGCAACCCCCAAUUUUUUUCAGGUUGACCUCGGAUCAGGUAGGGAUACCCGCUGAACUUAAGCAUAUCAAUAAGCGGAGGA